GAUGAACGCUGGCGGCGUGCCUAAUACAUGCAAGUCGAGCGAACGGACGAGAAUCUUGCUUCUCUGAUGUUAGCGGCGGACGGGUGAGUAACACGUGGAUAACCUACCUAUAAGACUGGGAUAACUUCGGGAAACCGGAGCUAAUACCGGAUAAUAUUUUGAACCGCAUGGUUCAAAAGUGAAAGACGGUCUUGCUGUCACUUAUAGAUGGAUCCGCGCUGCAUUAGCUAGUUGGUAAGGUAACGGCUUACCAAGGCAACGAUGCAUAGCCGACCUGAGAGGGUGAGCGGCCACACUGGAACUGAGACACGGUCCAGACUCCUACGGGAGGCAGCAGUAGGGAAUAUUCCGCAAUGGGCGAAAGCAUGACGGAGCAACGCCGCGUGAGUGAUGAAGGUCUUCGGAUCGUAAAACUCUGUUAUUAGGGAAGAACAUAUGUGUAAGUAACUGUGCACAGCUUGACGGUACCUAAUAAGAAAGCCACGGCUAACUACGUG
rnacentral:rRNA from 1 species